AUAAAAUUUCUGUUUUUCCUUGUUUCGGUCAAAGAAGCAAAAAUCACUAAAACUCAGAAAUCUCCAGUUUUGUCUCUUUCGUGUGAAAUUUCAAUACUAUCUAAUUCAACUUGUCAGUAAUUUUUUAGAAUUGUAAAUAAACUAUGCUUAAAGAUCCCCUAUUCUUUAAUCCUUCUAUUAAAAUAAGAUCUAAAGAGAAUAAAGGUAUACACUGAGUUUUAAGAAAAUAACUAGAGUUUAGUGAUAGAUGUAUGAGUAGGAGGUGGUGGAAGAUAAAGGAUUGCUUUUGUUAAACAGAACUAACCUAUAUUUUCAGUCCACCUUGUAAGAAUUGUGCUAAAGGGAUUAUUUACCUGAAUAAUUUUGCAAGGAAUGAAGCCCCAACUCAUAAGACAUUUUGAAGAAUUUUCUAGAAAAGAUCUCCCAGGGCCAUCUUCACAAAAGACAACUAAACAGAGUUGUUGAUGCAACUUAACUAAGGCAUUGUUCUGGGAUGCAUUUCAUUGUCUUCAAAGCCCAGAGACAUACCUCAUCCUAUCAGCAGUUCCUCUCAAUAAUGCUAUGUCAUGAGCAGUUGUCUCCAUUCUUUUUUGUAUAUGAUUUCUGACUGCUAAACCCAAUGGCCUGCUAUUCUUGUUUUAUAGUAAAAAGAUUUCCUUACUUGUUUUAAUUUUAUUUCCUAACAGAUUUUUUGUUAGUUCACUGUAAAUAGAGUAGCCAAUCACUUGAUUACCAGGUAAUUCAGAGUAGGUUUCCAUCUGUUUUCAGGUCUACUGGAAAACCAUAAAUGAGUCUAAAAUGACAGAUAAAGCAAAAUAUUGUGUCAUUUAUAGUUGCUAAGAGGCCCUCAUUUUUUAAAUUUUCAUUCCCAUCAAUAAUAUAGUGAUAUGAAUAUAUUCAUCACUUUUGAUUCUAGUUUUCAAAGAGAAAGGACUAAUUACUAAAUAAUCAGUUAAAAUGUGGGUUUCCUCAGAAAUGUGAGUAAGGAAAUUUGAGGCAGGGGCAUGAGGUGGUGGUGGCCAGGCUCAGGCCAGGACUCCGCUGCUUCCAGUGGAACCAUGGGGAAGGCCGUGGGCAACUCGAAGCAAGCACUGCCCUGUAUGACCAAGUCAUGGACAGUCCACAUGGAGUGCAUCAGCACAGAGGCAACACUGCAAAAAAAAAAAGACUUAAAGCUGAGUGUCAGAAAGCUACUCACCAAACAUAAUACUGUGUUUGGUGAUUAUACAUGGAUUGAGUUUGAUGAACUUUUUCUGACCAGGAAUAUGCUCGUCUGUAUUGUUGACACAGAAUUAAAGGUUAAAGACUCGUAGCUCAUUGAUUUGAGUGCAUGUACUAUUGCACUUCACAUCUUCCAGCAGAGUGAAGAUGGCCCUAGCAGUGAAAAGUUGGAGGAAGAGACAGAAGAUAAAAUUGUGGCAAAUCACUGGGUUCUGCCUGCAGCCAAAUUCCAUGGGCUUUGGAACAGCCUAGUGUCUGAUGUGGAAGUCAAAUCACACCUUGAUUAUGUGAUUACAACCUUAUCAUUUUCAGACAAGAAUGUCAACAGCAGCCUCAGCACCUGGAACCAGGUGGUGCUGCUACAUGGUCCUCCAAGAACUGGAAAAAUAUUCCUAUGUAAAGCAUUAGCCCAGAAAUUGACAAUUAAACUUUCAAGCUGCUAUUGGUAUGGCCAGUUAAUUGAAAUAAAUAGCCAUAGGCUCUUUUCUAAGUGGUUUUCUGAAAGGGAAAAGCUGGUAACUAAGACAUUCCAGAAGAUUCAGGAUUUGAUUGAUUAUAAAGAUGCUCUGGUGGCAUUUUAACUGAUUGAUGAGAUGGAAAGUCUCACAGCCACCCAUAAUGAAAGCCAUCAGGUGCCAUUGGCAUGGUCAAUGUUGUCUUGACCCAAAUUAAUCAGAUUAAAAGGCAUUUUUAAUGUAGUGAUUCUGACUACUUGCAACAUCAUUGUGAAGAUUGACAUGGGCUUUAUGGACAGGUCUGAUAUUAAGCAGUAUAUCAGUCUGCCCUCUGCAGCAGCCAUCUUCAAAAUUUACCUUUCUUUGGAAGAACUGGUCAAGUGCCAAGUCAUACCCUCCUCAGCAGUAUUAAUCCUUCAAAAGCUGGAGAUGAUUGGCUUCACUGAAAACAAUGUGUCAAAAUUGAGCUUCCUUUUGAGUGACAUUUCAAAGAAGAUUGAGGGCCUCCAUGGCCAGUUCCUAAGAAAACUCCUUUUUCUGGCUCAUACACUGUACAUCCAGGCUACACGAGGCCUUCUCUCUGGCCGUGGACAAGCAGUUUGAAGAGAGAAAGAAGCUUUCAGCUUACAUUUGAUCCUGGGCUUCACAUUCCAUAGCUUUCUAGUGGAGAGCACACAACUAGUAAGUAACAUCACUUUGCCUCACAACACCCCCCACUCUGGAAAUCCCCUCUGUAAAAAUUUGCUUAGAUCUGUCUACAAGCCAGAAAGCUAUAACACCAACCUUUGUUACAAGUAUUAUAUUUACAUUAGUUUAAAAUUUUAUAAAUUUAUAUUAUAUUAGUUUAAAAUUCAUAUUAGAAGACAAAUAGCUUGUCAUUUUCACUGUUUUUAAAAGAUAAUUCAAAUUGUCGGUCUCUUUGUUAAGAAUUGUCUAAUUGUGUUUAUUUCCAUCCUGCUUCCAAUUGAUGGACACAAAAUGCUACACAAGUUUGGUUUUUUUAAAAAAGGAAGAUUAACAUAGGUAUUAUAGAAGCAGGAGAACUGUAUCCCACUAAAUAAGCAUGUAAUCAUAGCAUUCAAAAAUGUACAUAUCACUCUAGCUAGAAAGUGGCAGUGGCUUUAUGAUGUCAGCUUGUUUAAUGCAAAAAUGGCUUAGAGACUUUUUAAUGGAUAAGAAAAACCUAUUUCUAUGUUAAUAGAAAUUGAGAGAAAAUUCUAGGUAAGUGUUCUUUCAUAAUAAUCAAACAUAGUCCCAUUUGUAGGAAGAGUACAGACCCAUGUUCAAAAGAUAUAUGCUGGAUGUCCUUCAUAAACCAGUGCAGCACACAUGCAUUGCUUGGAUAUUUCUUCCCAUUUUUUUGUUUGUUCAAUAAUAUUAUUCACAUCUCAGGCCAGGCACAGUGGCUCAUGCCUAUGA